CCUAGCCGUAAACAAUUAAUUUACACCUAUCAGCGCCAGGGAAUUACGAGCAAUGCUUAAAACCCAAAGGAUUUGACGGUGUCCCACCCAGCUAGAGGAGCCUGUUCUAUAAUCGAUGAUCCCCGCUACACCCGACCAUUUUUCGCUCAUCAGUCUGUAUACCUCCGUCGAAAGCUUACCAUGUGAACGUUCUUCAGUAGGCUCAAUGAUCCAACACCCCAUCAACACGUCAGGUCAAGGUGCAGCUUAAGAAAUGGGAAGUAAUUGGCUACAAUUUCUAAUCUAGAACAAACGAAAGGCUAUGUGAAAUCAUAACCACGAAGGUGGAUUUAGUAGUAAAAAGAAAAUAGAGUGUUCUUUUUAACCCGGCUCUGGGACGCGUAC
rnacentral:rRNA from 1 species